rnacentral:rRNA from 1 species
UACGUAGGCGGAAUAUUAAGUCAGUGGUGAAAUUCUGCAGCUUAACUGUAGAAUUGCCAUUGAUACUGAUCUUCUUGAAUUUAGUUGAGGUGGGCGGAAUGUGUAAUGUAGCGGUGAAAUGCUUAGAUAUUACACAGAACACCGAUUGCGAAGGCAGCUCACUAAACUAACAUUGACGCUAAGGUACGAAAGCGUGGGGAGCGAACAGGAUUAGAUACCCUGGUAGUCC